ACACCAGCAGGGAUUAUGGUCUCUGGAACCUCUACCAUCAUAUCCAUCAGUACUAAGUGGUAGAAUCAGCCUACCUGAAAACCUGUUUCUUGUUCUUCAUAAUCUCCAUUUGGAUUCCCACCCUGGAAUUUGUUGAGGCUAAACAUGGCAGAGAAUCUCAAGGAGACAUCAAACUAACAGAUCACUUCAGUUACGUUGACUUGCCUCCAGAUUCACCUCUUCUGCCACCCUUAGGCGCUGUCUCCUCAGCGCUCCCAGGGGUCUGCCCGGGGAUCCCUGCUCCAUUCUGAAGCAUGACCGGGAUGCGGAGGCUACAGACACGCCAGAGAUGACAUAGCAACAGUUUUGUGGAUAAGAAUAUCAAGUAGGCGUUUUGAUGAUGCUGAUAAUGGAAUUGGUUGCAGAAAAUGGGAGCUGCAUCAGACAAUACCGAAUACAUUAUUUUGUGCUGUCUCCUCUUAAUGCCUCGGUUAAAGCAACCCAAGCCAAUUGCAGUUCCGCAACACCGUGUGAGUGCUCCAGUGAGGCAGAACCCUGCACCAUCCAGCGAUCCAUCACCUGUUUGAACCUGAAAAGCACCAGGAACGAGCUAGUAGCUACAGAAUAAGUAGCUACAGAAUAAGUAGUGAACAAGAUAAAUACAGUUCCUGCCCUCAGGGAGAUCACGGCAUCCUCCCCUCUCUACCUGUUGGAACCCCGUUUACUUUAAGUCUUUUCCGUCUGCAGUUUGAAGAGAGUCUGCUCUGGAGUGCUGGAUCUCACUCUGGUGCUGAGGAUGGGCGGACUUACGGAGGAGAACAUUCUGCUUUCCGUAUUAAAGCAGCGCCGUCUCUGUCGCCUCCACGUUCUGCCUUUCCUCACUGAUGACUGUUUCUUUUUCCCUACAUUGCAUUCUACCUCUUCCCCCACUGAAUGCAGAGUUAUGGUUUUGUGACCCUACGUUGGGUCUUUACUCGAUCUCUGGUCCCCACAUCAUGUACCUGAUCAGCAUCUCAGAGCCCUGUCACUUCAAAUCCAUUCAUCGCACCUCCUUGACUCUGAAACCAAGUUCCUGGGCCAGAUCUUGUCUUUAUCAUACUUUUGCCCCACUUGUAAGCACUUUCGCAUGGCAUUAAAAAGACUCUGUAAAUUGAAAUUGAAUAGUUGCAUAUUAUUCUCUUUUAUGUUUGGCCAUAAUUACCCUAACCAUCCUCCAAUAUUGACCUUACGUUAGUUUCAAUUUGCCACUAUUGUGAAUAACAUUCCAAUGAAUAUCUUUGUAAAUAAAUCUUUAACCAUGUAUCAGAUGACUUUCUUAGGUCAACUGUAUAGAAACAAAAGGACUGACAUAAAAUCUGGCACAAAAUAUUUGAUACAUAUUGCUAACUUGAUUUCUAGAGAGUGUGCAGACUUACACUCCCACAGCAGAGUAUCGUGUCUUGUUGCAUUGUUGCCAACCUUGAGCAUUAUUGUCAAAAUAGAGAACAGAAGGGAAUUUUGGAAUAAAAAGAAGAUUUCUCAACCCGAUCAAGAGCAUCUGAGGUACAGUAGAAACUAACACAAUAUUGUAAAGCAACUAUACUCCAAUAAAAAUUAUUUUAAAAACUGAAAAAAAUAAAAAAGAUCAUCUGAGAGCUGGACUGGGAGUUUGAAAAAAAAAAAGAGAGAAUCUGAAAAAUGUACAACUAGCAUCACAGUUAAUGGUUUCAGACCAAAUCCUUUCCCCCUAAGAUCAGGAACAAAGCAAGGCUGUCCACUCCAACCACUUCUAUUUAAUGGUGCAUUAUUUUAAAAUAUUUGCUUAUAUGAGAUAUUUAAAAAUCACUGUGCAUUUUAAUUUGCAUCUUUUUGUUUUCGAGAGUAACUUUUCUUAAGUUUAUUAGCUAUUGGUAACGCUUCUUUUGUGAAUUAGGUAUCUGAAGUCUUUGCCCACGCUUCUGUUGGUGUCCUACGGUUUUUUAAGUUAUUUGUAUGAGCUCUCUAUAUUUUUGUCUUAAAUAUUUAUUUUUACAAAUUUGUAGUUUGCUUUUUUUGA